rnacentral:lncRNA from 10 species
UUCUUUUGUGUUAAUACAAUAUUUUAGUAUUUCAUUUCAAUUCUCUAUUGGUUUUUUUUUCUUUAGAGUCUAACUCUGUCACCCAGCCCAGGCUGGAGUGUAGUGGUGCAAUGAAAGAUAGCUCACUGUAGCCUUGAAGUCAUGGGCUCAAGUGAUCCUCCUGUCUCAGCCUCCUAAGCAACUAAGACUACAGGUGUUAAGGGAAGAACCUGGUGGGAGGUGAUCGGCUCAUGGAGGUGGUUUCCUCCAAGCUGUUCUCAUGAGAGUGAGUGAGCUCUCAUGAGAUAUGAUGGCAUUUCCCCUGGUUGCACUUACUUCUCUCUUGCCUGCCGCCAUGUAAGACAUGCCUGCUUCCCCUUCCACAGUGAUUGUAAGUUUCCUGAGGCCUCAGCAGCCAUGCAGAACUGUGAGUCAAUUAAACCUCUUUCCUUUAUAAAUUACCUAGUCUCAGGUAGUAUCUUUACAGUAGUUUUGACAAACACUAAAGGACUUCACAAGGUUCAUUAGUGCUGACUCAGGUGCCUCUACUCUGUCGCACUUUAACUGAUUCCUAUUCCAUCAGGGAGAUUAAGUUUCUCACAAUUCCAUGUUGAAUGAGCAUAGGACUUAGGAAGACCUGAAGAUUCUACUUCAGAAGAUGGGGGUGAUUAUUAGAUUAAAUCAAAUCAAAUAAUAUAUGUGGAAGCUACUAGCAAAAUAUCUGGCACAUAGAUCUCAGAUAAAAGCUGGUUGCCUUCUGCUCUUUUUUCCUCUCUAUGGCACCCUCUGAGCAUUCACAGGGACUUCUGCCAACCUGUUUGAGCAUUUCAUGCUUGGUGCUGUCAAGGAGUACUCACCAUAUAUAGCUGGUGGCUACCAAGAUCUAUCUGAUGGUGUUUGGACUCAAAACACACCCCCAAAAUAAAGGCCUCCAAAAUAGUCUUACAAGUAAAACUUUUUUUUCUAAUUUUCUCAUGUCUUCUUGUCUAAGACUAAGACUGGUCUAAGACUAAGGUCCCUUUCUGCUUCAAGGCUUGCCAUAGAAACUAGAAUCCCUCUUCCCCAAGGCGGGUCAUACAAAUGAGAACCUCUUUGCCCCAAAGCCAGCCAUAAAAAACCUAAAAAUAUUACUCUAAUUUUUCCUGCACCUUUCUGUGUAAAACCUGGUCAUAAAAAAAUUAUCUGAGCUACCUUAUUUAAUUAUAGGCCAUACGAUCCCCAUUCUAGAAAGGGUCCUGCCCUACAUGCAAAAGAAAAACAUACAUACUCAGAGAGACACAUGGGCUGAUACGGGCUGGCUGUGUCCUCACCCACAUCUCACCUUGAAUUGUAACAAUCCCCACGUGUCAAGAGUGGGGCCAGGUUGAUAUAAUUGAAUCAUGGGGGCAGUUUCCCCAUACUGUUUUUGCAGUAGUGAAUAAAACUUGGUUUUAUAAAUGGGAGUUCCCCUGCACAACCUCUCUUGCCUGCUGCCAUGUAAGACAUGCCU